rnacentral:tRNA from 1 species
AUUUAAAUAAUUUAAUUAAAAUAUUGAUUUGUGGAGUCAAAAAUAUGAGGAAAUCAUUUUAGAUA